rnacentral:lncRNA from 1 species
CGAGGUCUAGAAGUUGAUAGUAUUGAGAAUUGUCUACUGGAUGAACUGGAUUGUUUUCUCAAACCAAUGAAAGUCAAUAUAUAUAUAUAUAUAUAUAUAUAUAUAUUUUUAUUAUAAUGAAAGACUAUUCAUCAUGCAAAUUUGUAUGUUUUCACUUUGCAAACCACACUAGUGAGAUUCUAAGACAAGCUGUUUCAAGACAUCUCAUGUCGUGUCUCUAGCUCUAUAAUGAUGAAGCAUCUGACUAGCUUUUGUAUUGUUUAUGUUUUGAUGUUAUUGUGGGAAAAGAGCAUCAAACUAAACAUCUGAACGUAACGUUUUCGAUCCACACAACUCCUUCCUUGAAGCCAAGGCCAACUCCUUAAGUCUCGCUCUCACUGCUUCUGGCGAAAGAUCAGGCUCAGGAUGACCUCUCACAAAAUGUCAAAGAACUCUUGAUCGUAUAAUCUUGAUUUCUUAGUGUUUAGGUUCCAUGUUGGUUCCUUUAUAUAGAGGUUACAACUUAAGCAUGAAGUUAACCUAAUACAUUAAUCAAAACCAACUAAGCUAAGCCCAUGAGGCCCAAUACCCCCCCUCAAGGUGGAGUGUGGAGGUUACAAACACCCAGCUUGACAAGAAAAUCUUCGAAUUGUUGUCUUCCCAAAGCCUUCGUCAUAAUGUCUGCGAGUUGACUAGUGGUGGAAACGUGUUUUGUAGCGAUGACACCUCGAAUAAUCUCAUCCCUGACAAAAUGAACAUCCCGAGCGACAUGUUUGGUUCGAGCAUGGAACACCGGAUUCGCAGCAAGCAUAAUCGCAGAUAAACUGUCGGAAUGAAGAGUAAUGGGAGCAGUAACCUCAAUACCAAGCGUUGGUAGUAGUUCACGGAUCUAGAGUAGUUCACUUACGGUGUCGGCCAUGGCUCUAUAUUCUGCUUCGGCCGAUGAACGCGAUACGACGUCGUGUUUUUUCGUUUUCCAAGACAAUGGUGAGUCGCCUAGUUGUAUAAACCAGCCGGUGAGAGAACGACUAGUGAUAGGACAAGCACCAUGAUCGGAGUCACACCAAGCAUUUAAAGUCAAAGACGUGUUGGCCCGAAGUAGUAUACCUUGACCGGGGCUAUUCUUUAAAUAACGAACAACGCGUAGAGCAGCAUUCCAAUGAGCUUGUUGUGGAUUAUUCAUGAAUUGAGAUAAGAUGUGAAUGGCAUAUGACAUCUCUGGUCUUGUAUUCCCCAAGUAUAUGAGCCUACCAACAAGACGGCGGUAACGAGAAGGAUCAUGAAAAGCGUCGUCCUUUGCAAGAGACAACUUGUGAUUUUGCUCCAAAGGGAAAGUGAUAGGCUUGACGCCCAUGAGACCCGUUUCUGCGAUAAUGUCGAGAGCGUAUUUGCGUUGACACAAGUAGAUCCCUUCAGGGCUGCGAGCUACUUCAAUUCCCAAAAAAUACCUUAAGGGUCCAAGAUUUUUCAUGUGAAAACAUGUGCUUAAGUAAUGCUUGAACUUGUUAACAACGUGAAUUGAGCUGCCCGUGAUUAUCAAAUCAUCGACGUAUACAAGGACAUGAAGACGAGUAUCACCUUUUUCGAGAGUGAAUAAGGAGUAAUCGGAGUAAUUUUGCUCAAAACCGUAUGUUUUCAUAGCACCACCAAGCUUGGCAAACCAGCAACGUGGAGCUUGUUUCAAACCGUAGAGUGACUUGCGUAGACGACACACUUUCUUAUUAUCAUCUGUGCGAAAACCCGGAGGAAAUGUCAUGUAAACUUCCUCGUCUAAGUCACCGUGAAGAAACGCGUUAUGCACAUCCAUUUGAUGAACUUCCCAAUCAAGAGACGCAACUUGUUGUAAGAAAGCUCUAACUGUAAUCAUUUUGGCGACGGGCGCGAAGGUUUCUUCGUAAUCGAUGCCUUCUUUUUGAUUGUUUCCUAGGACCACUAGUCGAGCUUUGUGACGUUAAAGAGAACCAUCGGCAUUGAAUUUUAAUCUGAAAACCCAUUUGCAGCCAAUUGGUUUCUUUCCAUGUGGAAGAUCCUCUACAGUCCAAGUACCAUUCUCUUCUAAUGCUUCGAUUUCAUCUUUCACGGCGUAUCUCCAAUUUUCAUCUGCAAUGGCGUCUUGAUAUGUUUUUGGUUCAUGACUUGAAGUGAUAGCAAGUACAAAAGCUUGAUAUUUUUCUGAAAAUUGCGAACUGGAUAGGUAAUUGUCGAUUGGAUACGGCGUGGCGGACGGAGAAGGAGUGUAAACAAGAGAAGUCACGUAAUCGGCAAGCUUCGCUGGUGGUUGUUUCUUACGAUACCCGAAACCAAGUUUCUCUGGCUCGGAGACAGUUUCCUCAUCACUAGAGGUCAAUGGCGUGAUGUUUGUGGCUGUUACAUCAUCAUCGGAAGUAGCAUGAUCAACCGGAGAUGUGGAUGUAACAGGGGUUAUGUCUGUGAUUACGGCUGCAGGUGACGGAGUAGAUGAUGCAGAGGUCGGAGUAGGCGAAACAGAGUCGUGUUCUGGAGGCUGCGACGACCCAUUUUCCCGAGGAGAUGGUGAAAUGUCAGUGGCUGGUGCAUCAAAUUGAUCAACAUCAAGAUCGUCAUUAUCUUGAAGCAAAACUAUGUUGUCAUUACUUAAGCUCGGGGAAGAAGACAAUGACGUGUUCAGCUCGAUAGUAUAAGGAAACACAGAUUCGCGAAAAAUAACAUCGCGGGAAACUGUCACCACUCCAGUUUCAAUGUUAUAAACCCGCCAGCCCUUUUUUCUAAAUGGAUAGCCUAGAAAAACAGCUUUGGUACUCCGCGGUGCAAAUUUAUCACCUCCAUGUUUCUGGUUAUGGACGUAGCAUAGACAACCGAAAACGCGAAUAUGAUUCAUUGGUGGAGGACGUUUAUAUAUCAGUUCAAAAGGACUUUUCCCGUCAAGUAUUUGAGUCGGAGUACGAUUAAUUAGAUAACAAGCUGUCAAGGCGCAAUAACUCCACAAUUCAAUUGGAAGAUUGGCUUGAAAACGGAGAGCUCUAGCUACGUUUAAGAUAUGGCGAUGCUUCCUUUCAACGCGUCCAUUUUGUUGCGGAGUACUAACACAAGAUGUUUCGUGUAUGAUCCCGUGUUCAGCAAAAUAAUCCUUUAAGCAAAUAAAUUCGGAUCCAUUGUCACUCCGAACAAUCUUAACUUGAGCAACGAAUUGUCGUGCAACGAGAGUUAUAAAAUCCUUGAGUCGCAAAGGUGCUUCUUGUUUUGAAGGAAGUAAAUAAAUCCAAACAGCUCUCGAAUAAUCAUCAAGUAUUGUUAGAAAAUAUCGAGAACCGCAAAUAGAAGGAGUGCGGUAAGGACCCCAAAGAUCGCAGUGAAUAAGUUCAAAAGCAACACUCGUCUUAUUAUAACUCAAAGGAAAAGAUUCUCUGGUCUGUUUAGCGCUAAUACAAACGUCACAAGCCGUUGAAUCAAACUUAGUACUAAAAUCCAAAAACUUAAUCAUAUCCAAAGCCUUAGAGGAAGGAUGUCCCAAACGUGAGUGCCAUAAUUCCAUAGAUGACGAAUCCACUGAAUGAAUGGCUGCAGCAACUUCCACUCCUCUUAAAAAAUAAAGACCGUUCUCUUGUUCACCUGCGCCAAUCAGGGUCUUGGUGAUGCGAUCCUGAAUAAUACAAAGCCGAUCAGUAAUCUGAAAUACGCAAUGACGUUCUCUAGUCAACUGUGAAACUGAGAUGAGAUGGCACUUCAGCCCAUCAACAAAAAAUACGUCCUGAAGACACAACGUGGAACCAAGCGAGACACAACCCUGUUUAUUGGCCAUAGUGUAACGACCGUCGGGUAGUUUGAUAAGAACAGGAGCCAUAUCGCGAACAUCAAGUAAGAACUCAAGAGUGCCUGUCAUGUGAUUAGAAGCACCAGUAUCUAUAAUCCAUGAUUCAAUGAAGUACUUACCCGAAAGGUUAUUGGUGUUGUUGAGUUUCCGGUUUGCAAGUGUCUGCACUAAUGAGUCCCAUUCUUCAUUACUCAAACCAAUGAUUCCAACACGGUCUGCAGCAGUUAACGGAGAUGUGGAUGUAGAGGGAGCUGACGCUGUGUUCAAGCUAGCCGAGACAUGAUUUACUUGACUAGUCGUGGAGCUUUUUGAACCCACCGAUGUUGUUGUUAUUCCACGACUAGCACCGGUUGAUUUUCCAGACCUGUUUCGAGUAUUUGUCUUGGCAUUUUCAAUCCACCAGUCCGGGUAACCAAUCUUACGGAAGCAGUUGUCGGCGAUGUGGCCGGUGCGACCGCAGAUGGUACACGAAACAGAGCCUCCUCUGUUUUCAAACGCAGUGCGUGGUGUAGUUGUUUGAAUAACAAAGCUGACUCCAUCGGCUCUUUCUUCAUGAUUAUUAUUCACGUUUUUGGAUUCUUCAUCAAGACAGAGAGCAUUAUAUGCGUCUUCAAGACUCGGGAGAGGAAUGCGUGAGAGUAAGUUAGAUUUUACGGCUCCAUAAAGAUUGUCGUCGAGACCCAUAAGGAACUGAUGUAAUUUAUCUUCCUCACGCUCCUUGCGAACCUCUUCCAUUGUCUUAGCUUUCUGAUAAUCUGCGAGACUGCCCCACAGCUGAGUUAACUUGCCAUAAUAAGCUUCAAUAGCAAGUCUUUUUUGUCUACAGUUGGCGAGCUCUGUCUUCAACCUUUGGACUCUUUGUCCAUUUUUCACUCCAAAUCUCUUCUGAAUAUGUAUCCAGAGUUCGUGAGAAUCAUUGAUGUGAGAGAUAGAGGAUGAAAGUUUUUCUUCAAUCGUGAGUUUAAUACACGACACCACUAAAGCGUUAUUGGCGAUCCAGUCUUCAAAAUCAACGUCGUCUUCCGGUGGCUGAGGUAUAGUACCGUCGACGAAGCCGAAUUUCUUUCUUGCUUUUAGAGACAAGCGAAGGUUGUUGGCCCAUUCAUCAUAGUUAGGACCGCGUAGCAAAGGCUUGGAGAUCAAGGUGCCGGGAUUGUCUCCUGAGGUUAUAUCAUAUGGCGAUAUCCUUCUUCUAGUCUCAACUCUUGGCUGUGCUAAAACGGAUGUUAAAGCAGAAGAGGAAGAAGAUGAAGUAGAAGAUGAUGUAGCCAUAAGAAGAUUUCGAUGUAGAGAGUAUCGAAAUUUAGGUCAAAGAAAUUAGAAACAGAAAAAAUUGAGUGUUUAAGCGGAAGUUUUAGAUCUUUAGAUCGAGCAAAACCCUUUUGUAUUUAGGUUUCCGGCUCUGAUACCAUGUCAAAGAACUCUUGAUCGUAUAAUCUUGAUUUCUUAGUGUUUAGGUUCCAUGUUGGUUCCUUUAUAUAGAGGUUACAACUUAAGCAUGAAGUUAACCUAAUACAUUAAUCAAAACCAACUAAGCUAAGCCCAUGAGGCCCAAUACAAAAUCGUCGCUUCCAUAUUCCAAUUCCUCAGAUUCAACCUUCUUAAAGCCCAUGUUUCCAAGCCGGCGGAUGAACGGUGCCAUCUCCUUAUAAUGUGAGAAUCUUGGAAGAACAUCUCUACAAAACUCAGAUUCAUUCCAAAUGAUGAAACUGUUCCCGUUAUUGCUCCAUGAAACUAUUGAAUUCGUUGAAGGAUCAUCCACAAUCUUAUAUAACUUUUUGCGGAAAUAACGGCAUCUAUCUUUGCCAUUAUUUUCACGAUCCAUUCCCUAAACGCUCGAGAUCACCCUAAAACCAAAACACACCGACGAGACAGAAAUUAACUAAUCAAAAUUAUAAGCAACAAGACAGAAAUAAUUAGACGAGAAUCAUAUAACUUAUAGAGGGGAAAAAAAGGGAUAUGAUUAUCGAGAUCCAAACCUCGCGAUUGUUUAUUGUUUGUGCCUCUAAAACCAAACCUAGGA